rnacentral:rRNA from 1 species
AGAACGAACGCUGGCGGCAUGCCUAAUACAUGCAAGUCGAACGAACUCUUCGGAGUUAGUGGCGCACGGGUGCGUAACGCGUGGGAAUCUGCCCCUUGGUUCGGAAUAACAGUUGGAAACGACUGCUAAUACCGGAUGAUGACGAAAGUCCAAAGAUUUAUCGCCAAGGGAUGAGCCCGCGUAGGAUUAGCUAGUUGGUGAGGUAAAGGCUCACCAAGGCAACGAUCCUUAGCUGGUCUGAGAGGAUGAUCAGUCACACUGGAACUGAGACACGGUCCAGACUCCUACGGGAGGCAGCAGUGGGGAAUAGUUGGACAAUGGGCGAAAGCCUGAUCCAGCCAUGCCGCGUGUGU